rnacentral:rRNA from 1 species
UGUGUAGGCGGGACAGCAAGUCAGAGGUGAAAUCCUACGGCUCAACCGUAGAACUGCCUUUGAGACUGCUGUUCUUGAGUCUCGGAGAGGUUACCAGAAUUCGUGGUGUAGCGGUGAAAUGCGUAGAUAUCACGAGGAAUACCCGUGGCGUAGGCAGGUAACUGGACGAGUACUGACGCUGAGGCACGAAAGCGUGGGGAGCAAACAGGAUUAGAUACCCUGGUAGUCC